rnacentral:rRNA from 1 species
AAGCUAUGUUCUUUAAAUUUAAAGGAUUUGGCGGUUGUUUAGUCUAGUUAGAGGAACCUGCUUAUUAAACGAUAAACCUCGCAAUAUCUUACCUACUUUAUUAUAGUUUGUAUACCGUCAUUAUCAGAUUACUUUCAAAGAAAAAGUGAUUAUUGUAUGUUUAUACAUUAAAUAUUAGAUCAAGGUGCAGCUUAUAAGUAGGUUUAAGUGGGUUACAAUGAAUUUUAUUUAUUACGGAGAAUAAAUUUAAAUAUUUAUUUGAAGGAGGAUUUAAUUGUAAAUUUAAUUUAAUAAGAUAAAUUGAUAUUAGCUCUAAAUUAUGUACAAAUCGCCCGUCACUCUCUG